rnacentral:rRNA from 1 species
AGUGAACGCUGGCGGUAGGCCUAACACAUGCAAGUCGAACGGCAGCACAGAGGAGCUUGCUCCUUGGGUGGCGAGUGGCGGACGGGGUGAGGAAUACAUCGGAAUCUACUCUGUCGUGGGGGAUAACGUAGGGAAACUUACGCUAAUACCGCAUACGACCUACGGGUGAAAGCAGGGGACCUUCGUGCCUUGCGCGAUUGAAUGAGCCGAUGUCGGAUUAGCUAGUUGGCGGGGUAAAGGCCCACCAAGGCGACGAUCCGUAGCUGGUCUGAGAGGAUGAUCAGCCACACUGGAACUGAGACACGGUCCAGACUCCUACGGGAGGCAGCAGUGGGGAAUAUUGGACAAUGGGCGCAAGCCUGAUCCAGCCAUACCGCGUGGGUGAAGAAGGCCUUCGGGUUGUAAAGCCCUUUUGUUGGGAAAGAAAUCCAGCUGGCUAAUACCCGGUUGGGAUGACGGUACCCAAAGAAUAAGCACCGGCUAACUUCGUGCCAGCCGCCGCGGUAA